rnacentral:rRNA from 1 species
UACGUAGGGGGCAAGCGUUGUCCGGAAUCAUUGGGCGUAAAGAGCGUGUAGGCGGCCAGAUAAGUCCGCUGUGAAAUCUCGAGGCUCAACUUCGAGCUGUCGGUGGAAACUGUCUGGCUAGAGUCCGGAAGAGGAGAAUGGAAUUCCUGGUGUAGCGGUGAAAUGCGCAGAUAUCAGGAAGAACACCCGUGGCGAAGGCGGUUCUCUGGGACGGUACCGACGCUGAGACGCGAAAGCGUGGGGAGCGAACAGG